rnacentral:rRNA from 1 species
CCUACGGGAGGCAGCAGUGGGGAAUAUUGCACAAUGGUCGGAAGCCUGAUGCAGCGACGCCGCGUGAGGGAAGAAGUAUUUCGGUAUGUAAAGCUCUUUUAGCCGGGAAGCAAAUGCCGGUACGUGUCUAAGAAGCCCAGGAUAACUACGUGCAAGCAGCCGCAGUCAUACGUAGGGGGCCAGCGUUAUCCGGAGUUACUGGGUGUAAAGGGAGCGUAGACGGCAGAGCAAGUCGGAAGUGAAAGCCCGCGGCCCAACUGCGGGACUGCCUUUGAAACUGCGCGGCUAGAGUGCGGGAGAGGUAAGCGGAAUUCCUGGUGUAGCGGUGAAAUGCAUAGAUAUCAGGAAGAACACCAGUGGCGAAGGCAGCUUACUGGACACUAACUGACGCUGAGGCACGAAAGCGUGGGGAGCAAACAGGAUUAGAUACCCUAGUAGUC